rnacentral:rRNA from 1 species
CAAUGUAACGGGGCUAAGUUAUAAACCGAAGCUGUGGAGUUGCGUAAGCGACUGGUAGGAGCGCGUUCUGUAGGCCGUUGAAGGAGCAUCGACAAGAGCCUCUGGAGGUAUCAGAAGUGAGACUGCAGGAAUCAGUAGCGAGAAUGGGGGCGAGAAUCCCCCACGCCGGACGACCAAGGGUUCCAGGGUAAAGUUUGUCUCCCCUGGGUAAGCCGGGUCCUAAGCCGAGGCUAGAUUGCGUCGGCGCAUGGAAAACAGAUUAAUAUUUCUGUGCCACUGAUAUCAAGUGAUGGAGGGACGCAGAAGGUUAUGCACGCUGGCGAACGGAAGUGCCAGUUCAAGCAUGUAGCGUGGUCUAGUAGGAAAAUAAGCUAGACUAAACGAGAGGUGGGAUGAGGAGUCGUAAGAUGGAAGGUGCAAUUACCACACUGACGAUAAAAGCU